rnacentral:rRNA from 1 species
CCCUUAGAUGUUCGGGGCCGCACGCGUGCUACACUGAGUAAUUCAAUGGGUAAGGGAACGCUAGAGCAUUACCUAAUCUUGAAAUUUGCUCGUGAUGGGGAUCGACGGUUGCAAUUUUCCGUCGUGAACGAGGAAUACCUUGUAGGCGCAUGUCAUCAUCAUGCGCCGAAUACGUCCCUGCCCUUUGUACACACCGCCCGUCGCUCCUACCGAUUGAGUGAUCCGGUGAGGCUCUGGGACCUGGACGGAAAGAGCGUUUCGCUUGUUCUGUUUGGGAAACUUGGUCGAACCUUAUCAUUUAGAGGAAGGAGAAGUCGUAACA